rnacentral:lncRNA from 1 species
ACUUUUACCACAUCAUUUGUAACAUUACGGUCAUGAUUAUACCGAAUAAUCCCUGGUCAUAAUCAUACCAAGUCCAUCUAUGCACUACAGGCCACAGAUGACUUUCAACAUAAUAUAAACAUGAGGAUGAUUACAAUGAUAUAAGAAUUCAAUAAAACAAGUUCAAGAAUUAAUUUAUCCAGGAACCAAUAACGUCCAAAUUGUCAAC